rnacentral:rRNA from 1 species
UACGAAGGGGGCUAGCGUUGUUCGGAAUUACUGGGCGUAAAGCGUACGUAGGCGGCUUUGUAAGUUAGAGGUGAAAGCCCGGGGCUCAACUCCGGAAUUGCCUUUAAGACUGCAUCGCUCGAAUCAUGGAGAGGUGAGUGGAAUUCCGAGUGUAGAGGUGAAAUUCGUAGAUAUUCGGAAGAACACCAGUGGCGAAGGCGACUCACUGGACAUGUAUUGACGCUGAGGUGCGAAAGCGUGGGGAGCAAACAGG